AGUGAACGCUGGCGGCGUGCCUAAUACAUGCAAGUCGAACGGAGAUUCAGUAGCUUGCUAUUUAAUCUUAGUGGCGCACGGGUGAGUAAUAUAUAGCUAACUUGCCCAUUACUAAGGGACAACAGUUGGAAACGACUGCUAAUACCUUAUACUCCGUAUCUAUAUAAGUAGAUACGGGAAAGUUUUUCGGUAAUGGAUAGGGCUAUAUCGUAUCAGCUAGUUGGUAAGGUAAUGGCUUACCAAGGCUAUGACGCGUAACUGGUCUGAGAGGAUGAUCAGUCACACGUGAACUGAGACACGGUCCAGACUCCUACGGGAGGCAGCAGUAGGGAAUAUUGCUCAAUGGGGGAAACCCUGAAGCAGCAACGCCGCGUGGAGGAUGACACUUUUCGGAGCGUAAACUCCUUUUCUUGGGAAAGAAUUAUGACGGUACCCAAGGAAUAAGCACCGGCUAACUCCGUG
rnacentral:rRNA from 1 species